rnacentral:snRNA from 1 species
GGAUGUGAGCACGAUCUGGCAGUGACAUCUGUCACCUCACUGAUCAGCAGAGUUGGUGUGGCUGAUCUGUAGGCGGGUGUCCCCUCUUUCCCUCACCAGUCCAUGUGUGUCCCUCCCGAAGCUGCACGCUUGGUUGAAGUGGAUGACUGUCCCCAGUAGUGGAGGGCCGUUCUCUGGUCAAGGGCAUAUGAGUGGCUACACUCCCCUGCUAGAACCUCCAGACAAGCUCUGAGGGUCCGUUUGCAGCAGAGCAUCGGGUGGUCAGGUUUGCAAGACUCCAGAUACAUUCAAACGCAGCCCUGCAUGGGACCGUGUGCCUUUUUU